AUGUCAGAUUGUUGUGCUCUUCAUAAGCUCCCUGAUAGAUUUGGUGGCCUUCAUAAACUCUCAUUCCUAAAUUUGUCAAGUUGUUCAAAGAUCGCCAAACUACCUGACAAUGUUAGAUUUCCGUGUUUGGAGCAUCUGAACCUAUCAAGUUGCCAUGAGCUAGAAAACCUGCCUACUGAUUUUGGUCACCUUAGGACACUAGAGUUCUUGAACCUCUCUGGUUGCUACAAGGUAUCAAUGCUGCCAGGAUCAUUCUGCCAACUUACUCAUUUGAAAUACCUAGAUCUUUCAGACUGUCAUAACCUCAAAGAACUCCCCGAAUGUUUCGGUGACCUCUCCAAGCUUGAAGAUUUGAACCUAACAAGUUGUGCGAAGCUCAGACAAUUGCCUGAGUCACUAUGCAAGUUGUCUAAGUUGAAGUGUCUCUAUUUGUCAUACUGUCUGAGACUAAGUGAGCUCCCCUCCUCUUUUGGUGACCUUAAGAUUCAAAUACUGCACAUGAAUGGGCUUACGGAAUUACAGGGCAUCCCUGAUAGCAUCACUCGCAUGACUAGUCUCACCCAGUUUCUGGUUGAUAGUCUAGCGCCUGAAUUGUUUGAACAGGUCCUCCCCAUUAGAACACGUCUAAAUCUUGUGGGCACAGUAACGCAUAAGGUACAUGAGAUAGAGAGUAGAGGAUGCAGCAGUAUAGUGGAUCUGGUGGGACUGACUUGUUCAGAGCUGAUACUUGUCAGCCUUCAGAAUGUCAGGAAUCCGGAAGAUGCAGGCAGAGUCAAACUGCGUGACAGAUCAGAUAUUCGAGUACUAAAUCUUAUCUGGGAAAACGAAGGAGGUAAAUCUGUGCUGGACAGGCUCGUACCUCCUCGGGGUCUUGAACACUUUUGGCUAGGAGGGUACACGAGCAAGGAUUUCCCUGACUGGAUGUUUGACAUCCCGUCCUACCUCCCUUUUCUCAGCGAACUGACUCUUGAUGGUUUGGAAGCAUGUGAUUGUCUUCCACCAUUUGGGGCACUGCCAAAAUUAAGAAGGUUGGUUCUGAAGAACAUUCCCAACAUUAGGAAAAUUGGUAAGGAAUUCUAUGGAGAGGCUGGACCUUGUUCGAAACUGAGAGUAGUGCUAUUGGGGUGGAUGGAGAAUUUGGAGGAGUGGUGGACAACAAAGUCAAGUGAGGAAAACGAAGAGUUUCUAAUCCCUAAUUUGCAUCAGUUAUUGGUAACGGACUGCCCAAAAUUGAAGUUCCUGCCAUAUCCCCCAAUAAGUAUGGAUUUGUGUUUGAGCAACAGCGAGACGGUUUUGCCAGAACGAGGAUUCGGAAAGCUCUCGUCUUCCAUUCGUCCUUCUAAGAUGGUUCUAGAUAGUUGUAGCUUCUCUCAAGACAAGUGGAGUAGACUUGAACACUUUCCCACCCUUGAGAUAUUUAUUGUAAAAUUCGUUAGUGGCUUGAGGACUUUGCCAGAGGUCAUGCGAUGCUUCACCUCUCUCACUGAACUAAAUUUGAUGUCGUUGAACGAUCUAGAGACACUCCCAGUAUGGUUGGGCCACCUCGGUUCUCUACAAGAACUUAGGAUCGAAGAUUGCCCCAACCUGACAUGUUUGCCUGAAAGCACGAAGAACCUCACCGCUCUUAAAAAAUUGUGGCUGGUAAAGUGCUAUGGCCUCGAGAUAUUACCAGAAUGCUUGGGAGAGGUGACUUGUCUAGAAGAACUUGCCAUCGGCAUUUGCCCCAACAUAACAUGCUUGCCUGAGUGCAUACGGAGUCUCUCUGCUUUGAAGCUACUCAGAAUUGCUCUGUGUCCAAGUCUGACUGCGAGCUGCCAAGGGGAGGAUGCCCACAAGAUCUGCCACAUCCCUACAGUUGAAUUCAUGUAA
rnacentral:rRNA from 1 species